AUGUAAUCAUGGUUUCUGCUAUUGGCAAUGACGGACCUCUUUAUGGCACUCUGAAUAACCCUGCUGAUCAAAUGGAUGUGAUUGGAGUAGGCGGCAUUGACUUUGAAGAUAACAUCGCCCGCUUUUCUUCAAGGGGAAUGACUACCUGGGAGCUACCAGGAGGCUACGGUCGCAUGAAACCUGACAUUGUCACCUAUGGUGCUGGCGUGCGGGGUUCUGGCGUGAAAGGGGGGUGCCGGGCCCUCUCAGGGACCAGUGUUGCUUCUCCAGUGGUUGCAGGUGCUGUCACCUUAUUAGUGAGCACAGUCCAGAAGCGUGAGCUGGUGAAUCCUGCCAGUAUGAAGCAGGCCCUGAUCGCGUCAGCCCGGAGGCUCCCCGGGGUCAACAUGUUUGAGCAAGGCCACGGCAAGCUCGAUCUGCUCAGAGCCUAUCAGAUCCUCAACAGCUACAAGCCACAGGCAAGUUGCUGUUUGAGAAAGGCUGGCAUCUCCUGUAAUGAGGUGAAGCAGUUGCGCAGAGCCGCCUGCCCACUGCACGUGGGUGCAGCUUGAGAAGCAGGAUCCACGUAUGCCUGGUGCUCUCAGGGAGGCCAUCGUG
rnacentral:sRNA from 1 species